rnacentral:rRNA from 1 species
UACAGAGGCCCCAAGCGUUACUGAGAAUCACUGGGUUUAAAGGGUGCGUAGGUGGUCCGUUAAGUCCGUUGUGAAAUCCCUGGGCUCAACCCAGGAACUGCUUCGGAUACUGGCGGACUUGAGGCUAGUAGGGGUCACUGGAACUGACGGUGGAGCGGUGAAAUGCGUAGAUAUCGUCAGGAACGCCAAUGGUGAAGACAGGUGACUGGGCUAGAUCUGACACUGAGGCACGAAAGCGUGGGGAGCAAACAGG